UGGCAGAACUGUUGCUACCCACCGCCCAACGCACACAACAAAAUCCCACCCCGGCCCCUCGGGACACACCGACGCCUCCCCCGGCCCCGCUCCGUUCACCGCCGCCUCGAGGCCCUCGGCCCCGGGGGGCCCUUCCCGCGCCCACCCCGCGCUGAGGGGCGAGGCCGAGUGGAAGGGAAGGGGCCAUGGCGGACAUCUCGUCGCCUUUCCGAGCGCACCCACGAUCUCGGACUGACCUGGGGAGAACGGGAGGAGCGCAGGAGGGGUCCCGGCACCCGUCUGCAGCCGCCUCUGCCUGGGUUUGACACCCACACGCACCAUCCAACAUGGCGGCGGCCGGGGGGAGGCGGCGGACGAGGAGGCGGAACCGGCGGCCGCGCGCGUCCCCGAGGCGCGGCACCGGGCCGGGCGCGGCGGGGACAGAGAGGGGGGUGGGAGACGGGAGAACGAGCGGCUGCGGGCGGCCUGGGGUGCCCUGAUGUGCCCUGCUGUGCCCACAGAGCCCAGUGCUCGUUCCUCAGCCCCUUCUCCUCACGGCCAGGCCCGCCGCUUGCUGCCAGCGGCACGAAGGCCUCAGCGCCCCGUGUCCUCAGGGCCCCACACUCCCCUCCUCCUCAGGAGGAUCCAGGCCUUGAGAAGCAUCCACCACCCAACCCAUCAGACAUCCAGCCCACAUAUCACAUCCAGCACCCACCAUCAGCAUCCAGUCCAUCCACAUCACAUCCAGCGCAUCCACCAUCACAUCCAUGCCACCCACCUUCACAUCCAGCGCACCCACCAUCACAUCCGCCACCUCCAUCACAUCCAGCCACCCACCAUCACAUCCAGCCAUCCACCAUCACAUCCAGCCACCCACCAUCACAUCCAGCCAUCCACCUUCACCACUCUCACCCUCUUCCUUGUGUCAAACUUAGCAAUGUAACAAGAAAUAUAUAUGUUUUACACAGUUUUAGUAUUCAGGGAUGCCCCAGGGUGAUGAUGAGGGGCUGCAGUGAGACCCCCAUGAUCAGUGCAUUCCCUUCCUCAGGAGAUGAUCACCAUCACAUCCAGCCAUCCGCAUUCACCACUCUUAUCCUCCUCCUUAUUAUAUUAGGCAAUAUAAGCUGUACUGAGAGCCUUGUGGUCACGCUGAGGGGAGUUAGAUGCAGAAAUGACUGCAGAAACAGGAGCCAGGCAGCUCGUGGCCUUCCCUUGUUGGGGACACAGAGCCCGGGAUCACGAGUUGAAGGAGGUCAGUGGUCUCCUCGUGGUUCUCUGAGUGUUUGUUCCUAUCUUAAAGCCGUGGGACAAUUUGAGGAAAUGGGACGUGGCCGUUCUGGAGACAGCAAAGGUCAGCAGAGGCCAGGAAGGACACAUUACAGCUGGCUCCAGGUAGCACUGCUGCUCAUUUAA
rnacentral:lncRNA from 1 species